CUUGAGAGCGGCGUACGGGUGCGGAACACGUGUGCAACCUGCCUUUAUCUGGGGGAUAGCCUUUCGAAAGGAAGAUUAAUACCCCAUAAUAUGUUGGAUGGCAUCAUUCGACAUUGAAAACUCCGGUGGAUAGAGAUGGGCACGCGCAAGAUUAGAUAGUUGGUGAGGUAACGGCUCACCAAGUCUGCGAUCUUUAGGGGGCCUGAGAGGGUGAUCCCCCACACUGGUACUGAGACACGGACCAGACUCCUACGGGAGGCAGCAGUGAGGAAUAUUGGACAAUGGGUGAGAGCCUGAUCCAGCCAUCCCGCGUGAAGGACGACGGCCCUAUGGGUUGUAAACUUCUUUUGUAUAGGGAUAAACCUACUCUCGUGAGAGUAGCUGAAGGUACUAUACGAAUAAGCACCGGCUAACUCCGUGCCAGCAGCCGCGGUAAUACGGAGGGUGCAAGCGUUAUCCGGAUUUAUUGGGUUUAAAGGGUCCGUAGGCGGAUCUGUAAGUCAGUGGUGAAAUCUCACAGCUUAACUGUGAAACUGCCAUUGAUACUGCAGGUCUUGAGUGUUGUUGAAGUAGCUGGAAUAAGUAGUGUAGCGGUGAAAUGCAUAGAUAUUACUUAGAACACCAAUUGCGAAGGCAGGUUACUAAGCAACAACUGACGCUGAUGGACGAAAGCGUGGGGAGCGAACAGGAUUAGAUACCCUGGUAGUCCACGCCGUAAACGAUGCUAACUCGUUUUUGGGCUUUCGGGUUCAGAGACUAAGCGAAAGUGAUAAGUUAGCCACCUGGGGAGUACGAACGCAAGUUUGAAACUCAAAGGAAUUGACGGGGGCCCGCACAAGCGGUGGAUUAUGUGGUUUAAUUCGAUGAUACGCGAGGAACCUUACCAAGGCUUAAAUGGGAAAUGACAGGUUUAGAAAUAGACUUUUCUUCGGACAUUUUUCAAGGUGCUGCAUGGUUGUCGUCAGCUCGUGCCGUGAGGUGUUAGGUUAAGUCCUGCAACGAGCGCAACCCCUGUCACUAGUUGCCAUCAUUAAGUUGGGGACUCUAGUGAGACUGCCUACGCAAGUAGAGAGGAAGGUGGGGAUGACGUCAAAUCAUCACGGCCCUUACGCCUUGGGCCACACACGUAAUACAAUGGCCGGUACAGAGGGCAGCUACACAGCGAUGUGAUGCAAAUCUCGAAAGCCGGUCUCAGUUCGGAUUGGAGUCUGCAACUCGACUCUAUGAAGCUGGAAUCGCUAGUAAUCGCGCAUCAGCCAUGGCGCGGUGAAUACGUUCCCGGGCCUUGUACACACCGCCCGUCAAGCCAUGGAAGUCUGGGGUACCUGAAGUCGGUGAC
rnacentral:rRNA from 1 species